rnacentral:rRNA from 1 species
UCGGCUAGGGGGCCAUCCCGGCUUACCAACCCGAUGCAAACUGCGAAUACCGGAGAAUGUUAUCACGGGAGACACACGGCGGGUGCUAACGUCCGUCGUGAAGAGGGAAACAACCCAGACCGCCAGCUAAGGUCCCAAAGUCAUGGUUAAGUGGGAAACGAUGUGGGAAGGCCCAGACAGCCAGGAUGUUGGCUUAGAAGCAGCCAUCAUUUAAAGAAAGCGUAAUAGCUCACUGGUCGAGUCGGCCUGCGCGGAAGAUGUAACGGGGCUAAACCAUGCACCGAAGCUGCGGCAGCGACGCUUAUGCGUUGUUGGGUAGGGGAGCGUUCUGUAAGCCUGUGAAGGUGGCCUGUGAGGGUUGCUGGAGGUAUCAGAAGUGCGAAUGCUGACAUAAGUAACGAUAAAGCGGGUGAAAAGCCCGCUCGCCGGAAGACCAAGGGUUCCUGUCCAACGUUAAUCGGGGCAGGGUGAGUCGACCCCUAAGGCGAGGCCGAAAGGCGUAGUCGAUGGGAAACGGGUUAAUAUUCCCGUACUUGGUGUUACUGCGAAGGGGGGACGGAGAAGGCUAUGUUGGCCGGGCGACGGUU